CUAAAUUAAAAGUAAAUGAAUAAAUUGGUCAUCUUAGUUUUAAUUAAAAGAAAGAGAAAACAAAUAGUGUAAUAUUCAUAGUUUGUAAACCCAUUUUGGUGGACCAACCUCACGUUUCGAAUGUUGCGCAUCAUAAAAUUUUGAAUAAAGAAGCAGUUUAGAAUUUUAAAUAAAUAAGUCAAAAUGAUGGGUGGAAAGAUGCAUGUAAAGAUGGGUGGAGUAUAGACGAGUGAAUAGGUAAAGAAUAAGGGGUGGUUGAGUGAAUAGACGGAUGCAGAGCGGUGGAAGGUAUACUAUAUUAGGGGAGUGGAUGAAUGUGUGAAUGCAAGCCGAGAAGGGUGGAUGAGUGGACGAAUGGAGAUGGGAAUCCAAACAAGUGAGAA